GAUGAAGAACGUAGCAAAAUGCGAUAAGUAAUGUGAAUUGCAGAAUUCAGUGAAUCAUCGAAUCUUUGAACGCACAUUGCGCCCGCCAGUAUUCUGGCGGGCAUGCCUGUUCGAGCGUCAUUUCAACCCUCAAGCCCUCGGGUUUGGUGUUGGGGAUCGGCGAGCCUUUCUGGCAAGCCGGCCCCGAAAUCUAGUGGCGGUCUCGCUGCAGCCUCCAUUGCGUAGUAGUAAAACCCUCGCAACUGGAACGCGGCGCGGCCAAGCCGUUAAACCCCCAACUUCUGAAUGUUGACCUCGUAUCAGGUAGGAAUACCCGCUGAACUUAAGCAUAUCAAUAAGCGGAGGA
rnacentral:misc_RNA from 1 species